rnacentral:rRNA from 1 species
UACGGGGGGAGCAAGCGUUGUUCGGAUUUACUGGACGUAAAGGGCGCGUAGGCGGCCUCUGCAAGUCGACUGUGAAAUCUCCGGGCUUAACCCGGAAAGGUCAGCCGAUACUGCAGGGCUAGAGUGCAGAAGGGGCAACUGGAAUUCUCGGUGUAGCGGUGAAAUGCGUAGAUAUCAGGAGGAACACCGGUGGCGAAGGCGGGUCUCUGGGCCGAAACUGACGCUGAGGAGCGAAAGCGUGGGGAGCAAACAGG